UACGAAGGGUGCAAACGUUGCUCGGAAUUAUUGGGCGUAAAGCGCACGUAGGCGGACAUUUAAGUCAGGGGUGAAAUCCCAGAGCUCAACUCUGGAACUGCCUUUGAUACUGGGUGUCUUGAGUAUGGAAGAGGUGAGUGGAAUUCCGAGUGUAGAGGUGAAAUUCGUAGAUAUUCGGAGGAACACCAGUGGCGAAGGCGGCUCACUGGUCCAUUACUGACGCUGAGGCGCGAAAGCGUGGGGAGCAAACAGG
rnacentral:rRNA from 1 species